GAUCAUAAACCUCUUUUUAUUUGCUUAGAUUAAGAAAGCUUGUGUAUUCUUGGUGUCAUAAUUCUCUAGUUCUCCGUGGAUUCGAUCCUAAAAUGCUACAAUGACAUACCAUUCGAUUGUAGUAUUGUUGGCACAUUAGGUUAAUUGACUUGUGGUUAAACGCUUAAUCAGGUAGGUUGCAACAACGAUUGUGAAACAUCUUGCUGUGGCUGCAACAUAGAGAAACAGCGUCCGGUUUGCGUUCGGUGUUGCCGGAUUUGUGUCUUUCAUGUAUAUUGUGACAGAGAAUGUGAACAUUUGCAUCUCUGUAAUGUAACAUUUGCACGUUACCUGUAACACCAACUCAUUAACUUGACCCACAAACUACUAUUUUGGAUGUAUACGUUACACUUUUUUGUUUUUGAGUAUAUUCCUUUCUCCAUUAAAGGCUCUUGGCUAAUAUAUCUGUCACGACCUAACUUCUCCACUCCACCAACUCCACCCAUUAACACAUCUAUUAAACCCACCUUCUCCACUAUGUCACCUGUAAUCAAAAGAAAAAAAAAAAAAAAUCAGAGAGAAGAAAAGAGAAGAGUAGAGAAGAGAAGGGAAGAGAAAAGAAGAGAGGGGAAGGUGAGAAGAAGGAUUUGGAGAGGUUGAGCUCGUCACCGGAGUUCGUUAGAGCCUCUGCACCCCGUGACCGUGUUGAGCUCGCCACCACCGUUAACCACAGACCAUCAUCGUGUUCCUCUCGUCGAGACGAAGCCAUAGACACCAACCGUGCCGCGAUUGGAGCCCGUACGAGCCCUCACGCGCCUCCAGAAGAUCGCCCUGCACGCGCGCGUGAGGGCUCGUCCGGGCUCCAAUCACGGCACCGCCACCGCAGCUCCGCCGUCGCGUUCCGAUUCGGAGUCCAAUUGAGCAGUUGGAGUUCAUAGAUACCACUCCUCUUCCUUGCUAAGGUGAGAUCGAUGAGCAGGAGUGAUCUUAUCGGACUUGGGCUUUUUGGUGCUAUUUGGGCUUUUGGGCUUUUACCACUAUCGGGCUUUGGACUUCUAUCACUCUUAUCGUUUUAUCGCUUUUGGGCCUUUGGGCUUCUAUCUAUCGUUUAUGUUUAUUUCCAUUUCAGACUUUCGGUUUAUGUCGUACUUUAUAUUUCGGAUGUUAUCGUUAUCGGGCCUUUUGGCCUUAUGUCAUCGUAUUGACUUUUAUAUUAUAAUGGAGAUUAUAAUUAUUAUUUGAGUUGUAUUAUUAUUUUAUUUCCGCUUUUAUU